UUUAAGGACUGGUCAGUGAGGAAAUACCUCAUCCCUGCUUUUCCCUUUGGUGUGUUUGGGCUCUUUCAGGCCAUACACCAUCACAGAAUGGGAAUGGAAGGGAGAUGCAGGCCCUAGUAUGCGUCUGAUGGAAAAAGCAGCAGGAUUAUUUGCCCACCCUCAAACCUGAGCUCUACACAAUACUGUGUGCAAGAACCAAAGCAGGUAUUUGGGAAGAGUCUAGCCUAAACAGCAGGAUAAAUGCACAUUGAGAGAAGGUAUGAGCAGAGGUUCACAGCCCUGUAACAGCUAUCCACCAGCUCCUUCACAUACUCCCACCCUUUAUCUUCCCUUGUUUGGGCUUUAUUUCAAGCAAGAUUCUUGUGUCCCCCAGCACAAAAGGGAAAACACAAACAGGGUUACAGUCAAACAGCUCCAAAAGUGCUUAAAGAUUGUACAUGCAUUAGCCUGCUGGAGAACUCAUGGAGCCAUAGGUAGUGUGCAAAUCUGUAUUUUUUAGAAGAGAGGAGGAGGGGGCCUUGAAAGAGCAACUAAGCAGUAGGAGAACAGUCUGGAGAGCAUAAAGUUUCAGAAUUAAGGCUGUCAGAGCUUGCAGCAUCAAAACCAACAGUGUCACCUUAGAAACAAUGUUAUGGUCCUCCCAGUUUUUUGCCUCUUAUUGCUACUUAAAUCCCACCAAAUAUUCCACUUACAUAAGUCUUAUAUUACCUCAAUUUAUUUAUUUUGUCAGAUUGACUUCGCCUUGCUUGUGAAGCAUUUUUAAACACAGCUGAGACUAACUUUACUUUUAAGUCUCCUUAGAAUUGAAAGUUGAUUGAACUAAGUCUAUAUAAGGUUUUCAGACUUUCUAGAGGCCCUUAAUCUACUGUUCAAUAAGGAAUUAGUGCCAGCUUUAUAAAGACACCAAGGUGCACAUAAACACCUAAAUGUCAGGCCCUUACUAAACAAGUUUAGAGCAAAGCAGAUGUUUCAAAUAAGAGUUUCGUGACACUGGUUCCUAUCUGGAGACUUAAUCCUACCAAUAGUUACAUGUGUGCUUAGUUUUAUAUAGCACAUAGUUCCACUGAAAUCACACUGUACUACUCACCAUAGUAAAACUAAGCACAUGUGUGCUUGCUGGAGCACAGCCUGAGAGAUAAAAAUUAAAUAACUGGUUAGUUAUUUGCUACUCCAUAGAGUAUCAUAUGGAUCAGUCAGUUUUGUUAAGUUCCAGAAAAUUCUGACAAACAAAUAAUGUCCUUUUUUUUUUUGUGGCAGCUUCCCCUCUGCUCCGAGUACCUAUCUAUCUACCCUUCAAAGAAGUUCAGGAAAGCUUAUUUUAGCUGUGGGAAACAAUACUCUUUGCUAAAUGCUGCCAAAUCAACAUAUGCCUUCUGAAUAUGAAUUACAGAUACAAGCAAUUAACUAAUAUAUUAGUAAGACCAUACCUCUGCCUUACAAGCAUCAUAACUGACAUAUUCAGUUAUCCUUCCAUGUUAGAGACUUAAAUGCAAGCUGGAGUAUAGGGAAAAUAAAUAGGAAAGAAUUCUACUCAUAUUUUUUCCUAAAAAUGAAGGUCAUCCAAACAAGAGAAGGAGGACAAAAAAGGAAAACCCAGGAAAAAAAAAAAAAAGAUAAAUCAUAUAUAUAUAUAUAUAUAUAUAUAAACAACAAAAAAGAAAACCUCUUCAGCAUCUGUUAAUUUUUCUAAAAACACUGCUGUUUUCUUAAGUGAACCUUAGUACAUUCACACAACCAACUGUUUCUAAAUGCUAUCUGCCAAAACAAUAACAGACUAAAUUACUGGAAAGCAAUAAUAGAAUGCAGAACAUACUAUGAAGCAAACAUGUAAAGCUAUACAAAUAAAACCGGGAAAAGAUUACACUAUUAAAAGUAAACCAAAGCUA